rnacentral:misc_RNA from 1 species
UUUCCGUAGGUGAACCUGCGGAAGGAUCAUUAACGAGUUAGGGUCUUCCAGGCCCGACCUCCCAACCCUAUGUUUAUUGAACCUCUGUUGCUUCGGCGGACCCGCCUCACGGCCGCCGGAGGACCGCUGCAAGGCGUCCUCUGGCCAGCGUCCGCCGAUGGCCAACCACAUAAACUCUGAAUGAAUCGUGUCAUAUGUCUAAGUCUAUGAUUAAAUUAAAGCAAAACUUUCAACAACGGAUCUCUUGGUUCUG